CCGGGGCAGAAGGUGGGAGCUGAGAAGAGCUUCUAGGGCAUUCUGGAUUAGGGGCGUUGAGAGCGGGGGAAGGAACCCGUAAGAGGGAGAGAUGUGUCCCUCUUUCACUUCCAGAUGCCAUAGAGUCUACAAACCCACAAGUGUUUCUCGGAACUGAAUUUCAACACUAUGUUGACAUGGUUAGGGCUGAGGCAGCCCCCACAGAUGCAGGUGACUAAAAGUUCCAUAGAGAUCUUCAGGGAAGGCUUUAGCAUCUACCUAGAGCGCAAAAGCUGAAGAGUGACAUGGCCACACCCAUUUUACCUCAGAGAGCUUUGGGAACUUGCCCAAGGUCAUGGCGGAAGUGGUGGAGCCUGGAGUCAAGGCUGGUCUCAGAGCCACCUGACAAGUGUGGAUCAACACCAGCCCGGCACCCAUCAGCCACCCACCUUCCUGCUGGUGAGACUGAAGGCCCAUGACGCUCCACAGACUCAAAAACUUCCUCCUUCAAGAACAAACAGCCGGGUUGUGUGAAGGUGCUGGCUGAGACUUCUUUUCUCUCUUUGCAUUCCUUCUAAUGUGGUUGUUAUAACGUUUUUACAAUAAGGAUGACUAAUGUUUACAUCACAUCUGAAUUUUCAGCUAGCAUUGGGUGGGAGUGAUACCGAGGGUGAGUAGAAUGGAGAGCAGCUAUUACCAGGACCUUGGGUAAGUCCUUGCCCCGUUCCAAGGCCUCAGUUUCUCCAUGGUUAAAUGGGUGGGCUGGGCCUGUCAAAUCCUUCCACCAGUUAGCAAAAUGCUUCUCAAAUCAGGUCUGAGUCAGAAAGACAGUUUAACAUAUAAGAUUAAAUGGAACUGAAUCAUGCAGUAAACAAAUUAUUCCUUUUCCAAUUUUUCUGUCCGACUGCAUUAAGGAGAAAGUCUCAUUGUGCUGCUACUUAGUCUUUAACACCUAACACUUUUUGUUAAAUUUUAUUUUUGCAGAGAUGGGGACAUGCAAUGUUGCCCAGGAUGCUCUUGAACUCCUGGGCUCAAGCAACCUGCCUGUCUUGGCCUCCCAAAGUGCUGGCAUGACAGGCAUCAGCCACUGUGCCUGGCCACCUAACACUUCUUAAUGAAUGGAGAGACAGCUCAUGCUUGGACGGCAGGCUAUUUAAUGACACUUUUGGUUUCAGUGUUUUCUUUGUUUAUAUAUAUAUAUUCUAUUUACUUAAGUAGUAUUGGUUUGAGAUACAUGAUAGUGACAGAUUUCUAAGUUCAAAUAAACUUAAGUUUAUAAAAGGAGAGGGUGGCCGGGUGCGGUGGCUUAUACCUGUAAUCCCAGCACUCUGGGAGGCUGAGACGGGCAGAUCACCUGAGGCCAGGAGUUUGAGACCAGCCUGGCUAACAUGGCGAAACCCCGUCUCUACUAAAAAUACAAAAAUUAGCCAGGCAAUGGUGGUGCAUGCCUGUAAUCCCAGCUACUUGGGAGGCUGAGGCAGGAGAAUCACUUGAACCCGGGAGGCAGAGGUUGCAGUGAGCCAAGAUGGCACCAUUGCACUCCAGCCUGAGCGACAAGAGCGAAACUCAGUCUCAAAAAAAAAAAAAAAAAAAAAAAAAAGGAGUGGGUGCAAGCUUCGGCGGUACAUAUACGAAAACUGGAACAAUACAGAGAAGAUUAGAAUGACCCCUGUACAGGUAUGACACGUGAAUUCGUGAAGCGUUCUAUAUCUUUGUUUAAAAAAAGAAAAAAAGGAGUUGAUGUACAAAAUUCUUAAGUAAUUGUAUAUGCAUGAAGGGCAAAUGAAAUCACAUCCUUCUACACCUAAAACUCUCUGAUGAGCUCCCAUUUCCCUUGGAUUAAUUCCAAACCCUAUUAUCUAUGCCCUCAAGCCCUGCCAGCCUCUCCAACUCCAUCUCCUUCACUCCUCCAUCAGUCUGAAAUCAAUCUCAUUCCUGCCUCAGGGCCUCCGCCCCUGCUCCUCCCCCUGACGGGAAUGUCCUCUCCCUGAUCUCAGCAUUCCCAGCUCAUCUCAUCACUCAGGUCUAUAUCCCCUCCGAGGUUCUGCCUGUGUCUCCAGUGCAACCGCUCUCAGUCCCCUUACUUUGCCUGAUUUCCCUUGGUGCACAUAUCCCUCUCUGAAAUGAUACUAUUUUAAAAAUGUAAUAGAAGCUUCUUGAAGACCGGGACUUUGUCCCGUAUCCUCAGUGGCUGAAAAAAAGUGCCUAACACAUACUAGUAGCUCAACAAAUGAAUGGCAAAACUGUAAAGAUGGAGGGAGAACUAGCCCUAAGGUGGAGAGGUGCUGACCCGGACUCCAAUAUCCGAGGCGGGGCAAGACAGCAGCCACCAGAGGCACAGUGGAAAGGGAGCUCAAACCUUGGCCUCAUUAGUACCAGCCUGCCAUGCACUGAGCCACCUGCCUCCCUCCCACGGAGGCAGCAAAGAGAGCCGAGUCAGCAACUAUUAAUGAAGAAGGAAUGGUGGAAUUAUAAUAUCACCACCAGCAGAGAAAUCUAGCAGACAACACCUUAGCCAAGCAAGUUAGACCACCGGAGAGGGGACAUGGAGAGCCCAUGUGCCUCCUGAUAUGAUUCACUGGGAAGGACAAAACGUGCUUCUGUGAUAUUCCUGCCAAACAGGCAUGACUUAAAUGGAACCAUGAAGAACCAUCAGACAACCCAGAUGAGGGCCAUUUUACAGAAUAACUGCUCUAUGCUUCAAAAAGAUCAAUGACAUGAAAGAGAAAGAAAAUCUGAGAAAUCAUUCCAGAUUCAAGGAGAAUAGAGAGACGAGAAUUAAACGCAGCAUACUGAACAAAAUUUCUUUUGUCUUAGAAGAUAUUAUUGGAACCAUUGGCAAAAUCUGAAUAAAUUCUGUCGAUUAUCCAAUAGAAUUGUAUCAGCAUUAAUUAUCUGGUUUUGAUAAGUACACUGUGGUUAUGUAAGAAAAUGUCCGUAUGUAAAAAAAAAAAACAACAACAAAAACACACGUUGGGGUAUUUAGGAGAAAGGGACAUUACAACCUUCUCUCAAACAGUUUAGGGGGAAAGCAAUAGAAAAACAGACACAUUGAGAGGAAAUAAUAAAGCAAAUGUGGAAAAUUGUUAGCAGUUGGAGAGUCUGAGGGAAGAGCAUGGGGAAAUUCUUUGUAUUGUUCUUGCAACUUCUCAGUAAGUCUGAAAUUAGCCUGAAAUUAAAAGUUAAGUGAAAAAACAGGCCAGGUGCAGUGGCUCGCG
rnacentral:lncRNA from 1 species